rnacentral:SRP_RNA from 1 species
GCUGGGUAUGGUGGCGCAUGCCUGUAAUCCCAGCUACUCAGGAGGCUGAGGCAGGAGAAUCACUUGAACCCAGGAGGCAGAGGUUGCAGUGAGCCGCCACUGCACUCCAGCCUGGGUGACAGAGUGAGACUCUGUCUCAA